UGAAUACGAGACGCUAAGGCGUCGAAGUAGUGUAUGUCAUACUUCCAAGAAAAGCUUGCACUGUCAUAAGUAAAAAAUGCCUGUACCAUAACCGACACAGGUGGGUAGGUAGAGUAUACUAAGGGGCGCGAGAUAACUCUCUCUAAGGAACUCGGCAAAAUAACUCCGUAACUUCGGGAGAAGGAGUACCUUAUUCUAUAAGGUUGCAAUAACAAGAUCCAAGCAACUGUUUAUCAAAAACACAGGUCUCCGCUAAGUCGUAAGACGAUGUAUGGGGGCUGACGCCUGCCCAGUGCCAGAAGGUUAAAGAAGUCGGUUAGCAUUAGCGAAGCUGGUAACUGAAGCCCUGGUGAACGGCGGCCGUAACUAUAACGGUCCUAAGGUAGCGAAAUUCCUUGUCGGGUAAGUUCCGACCCGCACGAAAGGCGUAAUGAUUUGGAUACUGUCUCGGAGAGGGGCUCGGUGAAAUAGACUUGUCUGUGAAGAUGCGGACUACCUGCACCAGGACAGAAAGACCCUAUGAAGCUUUACUGUAACUUGAAAUUGAAAUUGGACUUUAUUCGCGCAGUAUAGGUGGGAGGUGUUGAUUAUAAUCUUGCGGGAUUACUGGAGCCAUCAGUGAGAUACCACUCUUGUAACGUUAGAUUUCUAACUUUGAAUCAUUAUCUGGUCAAAGGACAGUUUCAGGCGGGCAGUUUGACUGGGGCGGUCGCCUCCCAAACGGUAACGGAGGCGUACAAAGGUUUCCUCUGAACGGGUAGAAAUCGUAUCUAGAGUGUAAAGGCAUAAGGAAGCUUGACUGUGAGACCUACAAGUCGAACAGGGACGAAAGUCGGUCUUAGUGAUCUGACGGUACUGAGUGGAAAGGCCGUCACUCAACGGAUAAAAGUUACUCUAAGGAUAACAGGCUUAUCUCCCCCAAGAGUUCACAUCGACGGGGAGGUUUGGCACCUCGAUGUCGGCUCAUCGCAUCCUGGGGCGGUAGUACGUCCCAAGGGUUGGGCUGUUCGCCCAUGAAAGCGGUACGCGAGCUGGGUUCAGAACGUCGUGAGACAGUUCGGUCCAUAUCCGGUGUAGGCGUUAGAAUAUUGAGAGGAGCCUUCUUUAGUACGAGAGGACCGAGAAGGACAUACCUCUGGUGUACCAGUUAUCGUGCCAACGGUAAACGCUGGGUAGCUAUGUAUGGAGUGGAUAACCGCUGAAAGCAUCUAAGUGGGAAGCCCACCUCAAGAUAAG
rnacentral:rRNA from 1 species